ACCUGGCGGCAGGCCUAACCAUGCAAGNCGAGCGCGACCUUCGGGUUGAGCGGCGGACGGGUUAGUAACGCGUGGGAAUAUGCCCUUCACUACGGAAUAGCCUUUGGAAACGAAGAGUAAUACCGUAUACGCCCCUCGGGGGAAAGAUUUAUCGGAGAAGGAUCGGCCCGCGUUAGAUUAGAUAGUUGGUGGGGUAACGGCCUACCAAGUCGACGAUCUAUAGCUGGUUUGAGAGGAUGAUCAGCAACACUGGGACUGAGACACGGCCCAGACUCCUACGGGAGGCAGCAGUGGGGAAUCUUGGACAAUGGGCGCAAGCCUGAUCCAGCCAUGCCGCGUGAGCGAUGAAGGCCUUAGGGGUUGUAAAGCUCUUUCACCGGAGAAGAUAAUGACGGUUCCGGAGAAGAAACCCCGGCUACUCCGUGCCAGCAGCCCGCGGUAAUACG
rnacentral:rRNA from 1 species